UAACGGGAUUUUAUAAAAUCCACAUAUAUUAAGUGAUAGAUUUAC
rnacentral:ncRNA from 1 species